UUUUUUUUUAACUGUCUCUAUUUCUUUUGGAAAAAUGGAAAGAAGAGGAGACAAAAGAGAAUCUGUUUUUUGUUGGGUAUGGCCUGAGGGUUUCUUACCUUCCUGAGUUUUCCCUUUUUCCUUGGUGAUGGGAAGGAUGGAUUACCCUGGAGGCAGGGCAAUAAGAGGAGAAAGAGCCCCAGUCCACACACAAAGGCAAGGAUCAUAUCCAUUGUCCAGGUGGUGAAGCUGGGGUUCAGCCAUGUGUCACUAACGCUGUUCAGAGGAAAGAGAAAUUUCUCCAUCUUCUGAAUCGCACUGUUCUGUUUGGACAAAUGAGUCCUGAGAGUUCACUUCAGCAAUGAGGAGUCCUACCCUGACCUUUGUCAUACAGGGCUGUGCCCUCUCAUCACAAAGGGAUCCUGACAGCAGGGGAGGGGCAAGAAGACCACACCCCUGCCCACCCUCCAGCUCAGCAUGUUCCCUACUCUUCUAGGCUGUCUAGAUCCUUCCUUCUAGUUCCACCUGCUCACCCUACCACAGGAGACCUUAGUCCAUGUCCUGUUGUUUCUGCCUACCAUGUAGACAUGACCUGCUUUUUUGUCUAUCUGUUUAGCUCCAUUGAUAUGACACUUUUGGAAAACUGGAUCAUUCCUGUAAUUGUUAUUUCACAGGGAUUGUUACUCUCAGGUUCCCCCUCUCUGCAGUUCCAGCUUCCCACAUUGUAGUUCCUUGCCUUGCAUCAACUCAGACACAGAACUGAGAUGUCUUCUGUAUGUA
rnacentral:lncRNA from 1 species